GCCGGAGUGGUGAAAUUGGUAUACACGAUAGGUUUAGGACCUAUUGCCGCAAGGCGUGAGAGUUCGAGUCUCUCCUCCGGCACCA
rnacentral:tRNA from 1 species